UUUAAGACCUGCACUUAACAAAUUAAUAAUAAAUUAUCUUUGUGAUGGUGUUUAUUUAAUGGAUUUUAACACUUGAAUUCUGGUGUUUUAGUCAUAUUUCUUUUACAUAAAUUACAUAAACUAAUGAAAAUGUUAUUAUUUUCUUUCAAAUCAAUUUUAUUUUUUAUUCUAAUGCUAUGUAUGACCUUCAUAGCAUUUUCUCUCAGCCUCAUGACAAAAUGUGAACCAAAGUACGAGAUGCUUAUAUAGGAGAAAAUCCAAUUUCUCUUGGGAGUUCUUACAUUUCUUAAAGGCCUUAUACUUUGCUUGAAUAGAUUCCAGAAUCGUAUGAUUAAACCAAUUUGACCCUCUUGCUUCCUAAGCAUUUCCACACAGUAUGUUUUGAGUGCUGUGAUUCGAACAGUUUUGUGGCACUUAAAUAGUGCAUAUCUAUAAAAACUCCUUUGGCAAAAUGUUUAAAAAAAUAUUACUAUUACUCUAUGGAGUGAACAAGCUGCACAUGCUUUCCUACGACAGUGAAGUUCACAUGCUGCAUUAUGAACUUUCCCUGACCGUUCAUUCAUGAACCCACAAAUAUGUCACUAAGAUGUUUCACAUUUUCAGUAAGAUGUUCAAGACACAAUGGCCAUGUUGACUAUGGAGUGAACCAUAGUGUGGGAAAUAUUUUACACAAACAAACUUAUUAUACAAUAUUUCUUUACAUUUUUGGACAAUAGUCUAACUGUUUUUCAGUGUGUGUGUAUAACCAAAAAGGAUCAGUCAUUAGUCGUAACAUAUAUUAAAAAAAAACAAUUUGGUCUCAGACUUCACAAUCGACAUGACAUACUAUAAUCCCAAUACAGCCGCAGACUCACCUAGGUGGUAUUUACCUGUAAUACUGUAGUCGGGUACACCAAUCCCAGACAACCUAAGAGCUGCAUGACACCAUUCCCAUCCAACCACAAUGGAGACGGGUAGCUAAGCAUGGGUCCUGUGAACAUGUGUAUACUUGUAGGGCUGUCACAGCAUGAGAAAGAAAAUAGGCAGUUUAAGUUUUAGCAGUAGCACAAGUCUGUUCACAAUCUCUUUAGGAAGCAAUACAUAUGCAUUUACCCUGCUUUAAGGAGUACAUUUGUUAAAACCACAACAAUUGUGAUAGUGAAAAUAGUUACAUGUAUUCAGAAGCAAUCUACAAUCAUAUUAUGUUGAUUUACGUUCGUUCUUAGAUUCCCCCAUAUGGAUUUAAUUCUUUACUUAGCUCACGGGCCUCCGUGAUUACAACCUGGUUGCUUAAUCUGUUUGUGACCUUUCAUGGUCCUACUGCGGUCACUAGUGGUCACUUAGUAAUGUUUGGAACAAUGGUCAAUGGUCUUAUUUUGGGGACCAGGUAUUGGAGUCAUUGAAGACUAAAACCACACAAUGCCUUUGGCUUUAUCUUAAUUGGGUAACUCCUGUUAUUAUGGGCAUCAGGUGACCAACAUGAAGAUUUCUAAUUUCUGGGCUCUGUUCUAAGUGGUUGCUAGAGAAGAUCUAACAUCAAUAAAAGGCUAUGUUCAAAUGUCAGAGGGCAACUGAGAAUACUGCUUGGAGGACAGCACCUGAAGCAAAACAAUUUUCACCACUUCAAGGUCUGUAUUUUUGCCUUCAUAUUCAAACAUGAUAUAUUAUUUAAUAAUUUGGUUAGCAGCAAAUAAUCUAGAUAACGUACCUAGUACAGUAGCCCCAGUAGUUUAGCAACACUAAUCACGUUUGUGGUCUGUCUGUCAAUAUUCCAGAUUGCAAAAUGAAGCUUCUUAUUUUUUUAGCCUUCAUGGUCACCAUCUUCAAUGUCAAUGCUGGCAAGAAACUGAGACUGCUGGCAGGUCUAAAUGGUGGAGUUGUGUCUGGGGUUAACCCUGGACUGGUGGUGGGGGGCCUGAACCCUGGCGUCCUCCCUGGUGGCACUGGGUUGAUUGGGCAGCCUCAGUUUGCCCAGAUGGUCCCAGGUGUCCCCACGUAUGUCAUGCAACCCCAAGCUGUUCCCAAUGGUCCCUAUGGUUUCCCCAAUGUUGGGAUGCUGCAGCCUCAACUGUUCCCUAACUUCCCUGGGCAGUACCAGUAUCCUGCCCCACCAGCUAAUGGGCUGCCUUACUACAUGGGUGUCCCUCAAAUGGCAGGAAUGAAUCCUCCACAACAGCAAGUCAUG
ensembl:lncRNA